UUGCAGAAAAUUAUCCGGCGUUACAAACGCGGAAACAUCUGAAGCCCGCUGCGUCAGUGGUACCUGCCAAAAGCCCUUCAAUAAAUCAAGCUUAGUCACAAACAAAGCAGCACCUACGCGAUCUAUACAGUCCUCCAUUCUGGGCAACGGAAAGGAGUCUGGUCUGGUCACACUGUUCACUCUCCUGUAAUCCGUACAGAAUCUGUACGAGCCGUCCGGCUUGGAGACGAGCAAACACGGCGAGCUCCACGGGCUGCUGCUGGGUAUCACCAAACCGUUCGCCAGCAGGUAAUCUACCUCCUUCCUCAUCUCCUCUCUCUUUACAGGGUUAAGUCUGUACGGGUGUUGUUUUAGAGGUGGCGAAUUAAUAAUUUCAAUAUCAUGAAAUAAAACAUGAGUCUGACUUGGCACAUCUGAAAAGAGAGAGGAGAAUUCACAGAUCAAGGAAACGACAUCCCUGCGCUGUGAAUUAGGGAGGUAUGCCAAUUGGUUUUCAAUGUCAUUUAAAAAUUCCGAAUUGCACAAUUUCGGUGGCGUGGUCAUUAUUUCUGAAACCCUCAACCCGUCCUCCUCAGAAUCCACAACAGGAGACGGAGGAGCGCACGCCAACACUGGCGCUGUUUCAGAAAGAGGCUUAUCUGUGGCGGUUCUAUCCACGGCCCUGAGAAGCGAGCAUGGAGUGCAGAGCCUGGCAGCGGAAGAAAAACCAGCACCAAAUCUCCUGGUUGAAAGCUUCGCGCAACAGCCUUUCUGUCAAAUAAUUUUUUCAUGUGAGCUUGUUUGGAUGACAAAUUUAUUUUUGCCAUUUCCCACACACGAUUUAAACGCUCACGCAUUUGAGUCACGUACUCACAAACGUUAACUGGAGAUUUCUUCUCCGAUAACAGCUGCUCUCUCAACAGCUUUAGGGGUCCGCGGACGGAGAACCCGAAAAUUAACUCAGCAGGGCUGUAUCCUACAGUUUCCUGUACUGUCUCGCGAAUGGCAAACAUCAGCAUCGGCAACCCCUCAUCCCAGUCCUUCCCCGUUUCCACACAGAACGCGCGCAGCAUGGACUUAAGGGUCUGGUGGAAACGUUCCAGCGCGCCCUGCGACUCGGGAUGAUAGGCGCUCGAUAGCUGGUGUUUGAUGGCAAGCUCACUGAGAACCUGAGUGAACAGUGCUGAGCUUUCGCUUUGAUGCUGCGCAUUGGGACAGCCUCUGGGAAGCGCGUCGCAGCGCACAUCAAAGUGAGUAUGUACUGAUAUCCGGAUUUAGAUUUUGGCAGCGGUCCUACACAAUCAAUAAUAAUUCUCUCGAAUGGUUCACCUAUCACCGGUAUUGGACAAAGGGGAGCAGGAGGAAUAAUUUGAUUUGGUUUGCCAGCCAACUGACAAACGUGACAUGAGCGGCAGUAAUUUACUACAUCCGUUUUUAGACCAGGCCAAAAAAAAUAACGCAAAACGCGAUCGUAAGUUUUCCGAAUGCCCAGAUGGCCAGAAAGUAUAUGAUCAUGCGCUAGUUCUAAUAUUUGUGAGCGGUAACCAGUGGGAACAACCACCUGACGAACAAUUUCGCCGUCUUCCCACUGUCGCAUUAAAGUGUCAUCUUCAAUGAAAUAUGUUACCUUUUUAUUGGGUGCUUUUGCUUUGUCUGUCACAGCCGAAAAGCAGGUCACUAAAGAAGGGUCAGCCUUUUGUACAGCAGCCAAUUGUGAACGUCCCGUUUGUAAAGUCGUGUCACCUAUGGGAGACACAGGCUUUACAAACAGCCUCCCGGUUAGUGCUGAAAAAAAGGAAUCAGACACGUCAAUCACGUCUUCAAAUUUGCGUGCUUGCGCACGAGUUACGACACACAAGGGAAAUGCAUCUGGAAAUUUAGUUAACAGAUCGUCAGAUUCAUCUGUUAAUGGUUGGUUAACCACAAUUGGGGGAGGGAAAACUAUGCCACCAGCUAAGUCAUUUCCCAAUAUAAAAUCUACUCCUUCCACUGGAAGUUCAGAGCAGACCCCAACACACACCUGUCCAAUAACUACAUCUGUUUUAAGGAAUAGGCUGUGUAAAGGAACCUUUACACAGCCUUUUCCUAUACCACGCAGAAUUACGUCAGCACCUGUGUAGGUUUCUGGAGUCAGAGGAAUAGUGCCAGCCAGCAGGAGACUUUGGGCUGCUCCCGUGUCCCUCAACACAGACACUGAUUUGGGCCUCACAAUCAGCUAUGAGAUGACCAGCGUCCAAGCAAUAAAAACACACUCUGCCCUCACCAGAACGCUGCUGAGCGCCCCUGCGCACCCCAAAAGCUCCUCCCCUGCCUGGUUUCGCAACACCCGUCCAGCCCUUUACCUGCCCUUCAGCACCCUGAACAGCAACCCUGUCAUAAUUCAUUGGUGAAAAGACUGUACGGUGUGUUAAAAUGAAUUCGUCCGCCAGCACGGCGGCUGCAGAGAGAGACUUAACCUUCUGCUCGUUUAGGUGCACAACUAAACUUUCAGAAACACUGCUUUUAAAGUCUUCCAAUAAAACUAGUUCUUUUAAAGCUUCAAAUGUAGUAGUUUUACUGGCAGCGCACCACUUUUCAAAAAGGUUCUGUUUCUCUCUGGCGAAUUCCACGAAAGUUUGUUUGUCUGCUUUCUUAUGGGCUCUAAAUUUUUGUCUAUACGCCUCCGGAACUAACUCAUAAGCACGAAGAACAGAUUGCUUCACCACGUCGUAAUUUAGACUCUGUUCAAUCGGUAGCGCAGAACAAACCUCUUGUGCUUUCCCCAUAAGCUUACACUGCAGUAACAGAGCCCACAUUUCCUUCGGCCACUGCAGUGUAGCGGCAACCCGCUCAAACGCGGUAAAAUAGCUGUCCACUUCAGCUUCACGGAAAGGAGGCACUAAAUUAAUGUGUCGGCUCACAUCAAAAAUUGGAGCGUUAGGCACAUCGGGAGUUGAAACUGGAGUGGAAGUGGCUGGCAAAGGGGCGGCGGGUAAUCGAGCGAACGAAGGAAAAGCAGGAGAACCUUCCAGUGGAUCCUCAGCCGGGGGAGACCGGCCGUGAUCCACUCGAAGCCGCUCUCUCUCUAACUCCAGCUCCAGCUCUCUUAACCUCAGCCUCUUCGCCACGCUCUCUUCCUGUUUGAUUCGUAAAUCCAAUUCUUUUGACUUUAACACAAAUAACGGGUCCGAAUUUGGUAAACUACCUGGUGGUGCAAAUAUUGGUGACUUGAAAAGCGGAGAUAAAGGUGGCGGAGUCGAGAGCCCCUCGUCGGCCUUCGACGGCGAAGACGUUCCCAUUUCGACGCCACCUGCCUCCGACAGAUCAGGCAAUAUACGUAGUAAAACCAAUUCUUUAUAAAGCACAUCUUUUAAUUCUUUUUUUGAAGCCUUAUGCGGCACCACAAUUUUAAAGAACUCUGCAAUUUUAAAGAAGUCAUCCUUACGGCAGCGAUCAAACUGUUCCGUGCUCGGAGAAAGCGCGAAGGCAGUCAAAUCAAAAUCCAUGUCAACACUAUUCGCUACUCCUUUCCACACCAAAAAGAAAGCAGCCAAACAAAGAAUAAAUUGAAAUGACUUACCCACUGCGCGUCCACAAGAAGGAUUCAAAAUAAACGUUUUUGCUGUACAAAAACAAAUGACGAGCCCCCACUUUAUGUUACGACCCUGGUCUAGGGUCAAAGCCGCAACAUAAAAGAACACCCGACAAAUAAAAUUCACUUUUAAUAA